CAACUGCAAUUUGUCCCGCCAGAUUCCACCAGCACAAGAAAAUAGUCAUUCAGUUACUCCAUAUAUAAGAAACUUGUCAUACUGAUCCACAGAAAUUGCACUAAACAAAUCAAAUGCUGAUACUUCUCUCGGACCGAGACAGAGAGAUAGAAAGAGUAGAUUCUUCAGUCAUUAAUAAAGUGGCAAUUUUUUCAACGGCUCCUUUUGCUUGCACCACUAUAAAUAUGUGUAUUAUAUACUCCUUUAGUCUGUGCAUCAUUCCCCACAUAUAUAUAUAUAUACUAGCUGUCUCCCGUGCCUCCAGCACUACAUGAACGGUGGGAUUUAUCCCAAACUUUGGACGGCCCAAAUGAUUUAUUAAGGUGAGCGGGAAAUUCAAAAUCAGUUGUAUUUUGUUAUAUAUAUACAUACAUAUAUAUAUAUAUAUAUAUAUAUAUAUAUAUAUAUAUAUAUAUAUAUAUAUAUAUACUCCCUCAUGUCAAAAAUUAGAUAUACAUUUCUAUUUUUAGACCAUGAAAUUCUUAUUAUGCCAUUACUACUACAUUUCUAUCUACUGAUAGAAAUAAGUUUGGAAAAAAAAUUGAAACAGUGUGUGUGUGUGUGUGUAUAUCAAUAUAUGUAUGAUCUUGCUGAUCUAGCAACCAUGGCUAUACAGUUUUGAGAGAGGCAAAGACCUUUAAUUACAAUGGUAAAGAGAAGAAAGAAACCGUUGGAAUCAUUCAUACAGUUAUGACUUAUAAGACUAUGAAGAGACAGAAAGAGGGGGCAGUGCUUAAACAGCUUAAGUUCU
rnacentral:lncRNA from 1 species